CCUACGGGAGGCAGCAGUGGGGAAUAUUGGACAAUGGGGGGAACCCUGAUCCAGCGACGCCGCGUGAGUGAAGAAGUAUUUCGGUAUGUAAAGCUCUAUCAGCAGGGAAGAAAGAAAUGACGGUACCUGACUAAGAAGCCCCGGCUAACUACGUGCCAGCAGCCGCGGUAAGACGUAGGGGGCAAGCGUUAUCCGGAUUUACUGGGUGUAAAGGGAGCGUAGACGGCGAUGCAAGUCUGAAGUGAAAGGCGGGGGCCCAACCCCUGGACUGCUUUGGAAACUGUAUGGCUGGAGUGCAGGAGAGGUAAGUGGAAUUCCUAGUGUAGCGGUGAAAUGCGUAGAUAUUAGGAGGAACACCAGUGGCGAAGGCGGCUUACUGGACUGUAACUGACGUUGAGGCUCGAAAGCGUGGGGAGCAAACAGGAUUAGAUACCCGGGUAGUC
rnacentral:rRNA from 1 species